rnacentral:rRNA from 1 species
GUGUUGUUGGGUAGGGGAGCGUUCUGUAAGCCGUCGAAGGUGUGCUGUGAGGCAUGCUGGAGGUAUCAGAAGUGCGAAUGCUGACAUAAGUAACGAUAAAGCGGGUGAAAAGCCCGCUCGCCGGAAGACCAAGGGUUCCUGUCCAACGUUAAUCGGGGCAGGGUGAGUCGACCCCUAAGGCGAGGCCGAAAGGCGUAGUCGAUGGGAAACAGGUUAAUAUUCCUGUACUUGGUGUUACUGCGAAGGGGGGACGGAGAAGGCUAUGUUAGCCGGGCGACGGUUGUCCCGGUUUAAGCGUGUAGGCUGACUUUCCAGGCAAAUCCGGAAAGUUAAGGCUGAGGCGUGAUGACGAGGCACUACGGUGCUGAAGUAACAAAUGCCCUGCUUCCAGGAAAAGCCUCUAAGCAUCAGGUAACAUCAAAUCGUACCCCAAACCGACACAGGUGGUCAGGUAGAGAAUACCAAGGCGCUUGAGAGAACUCGGGUGAAGGAACUAGGCAAAAUGGUGCCGUAACUUCGGGAGAAGGCACGCUGACAUGUAGGUGAA